rfam:Salmo salar isolate Sally breed double haploid chromosome ssa19, whole genome shotgun sequence.
UGGCUCAGUUGGUAGAGCAUGGUGUGUGCAACGCCAGGAUUGUGGGUUUGAUUCCCAC